rnacentral:rRNA from 1 species
UUCGUAGGCGGUGUGGCAAGUCGGGAGUGAAAUCUAUGGGCUUAACCCAUAGGCUGCUUCCGAAACUGUUGUGCUUGAGUGUGGGAGAGGCGCGUGGAAUUGCAGGUGUAGCGGUGAAAUGCGUAGAUAUCUGCAGGAACACCCGUGGCGAAAGCGGCGCGCUGGACCACAACUGACGCUGAGGAACGAAAGCUAGGGGAGCAAACAGGAUUAGAUACCCUGGUAGUCCUAGCCCUAAACGAUCAGGACUUGGGGUGCCGCCCGUUCGGGCGUCGUCCCGGAGCUAACGCGUUAAGUCCUGCACCUGGGGAGUACGGUCGCAAGACUGAA